GCUCGCGUAGCUCAGUUGGUAGAGCGCGGCACUAGUAAUGCCGAGGUCCAUCGUUCAAGUCGGUGCGUGAGCA
rfam:Penicillium antarcticum strain IBT 31811 PENANT_contig001, whole genome shotgun sequence.